rnacentral:rRNA from 1 species
UAAGGUAACGGCUUACCAAGGCGACGAUCAGUAGCCGACCUGAGAGGGUGAUCGGCCACAUUGGAACUGAGACACGGUCCAAACUCCUACGGGAGGCAGCAGUGGGGAAUAUUGCACAAUGGGCGAAAGCCUGAUGCAGCAACGCCGCGUGAGUGAUGAAGGCCUUCGGGUCGUAAAACUCUGUCCUCAAGGAAGAUAAUGACGGUACUUGAGGAGGAAGCCCCGGCUAACUACGUGCCAGCAGCCGCGGUAAUACGUAGGGGGCUAGCGUUAUCCGGAUUUACUGGGCGUAAAGGGUGCGUAGGCGGUCUUUCAAGUCAGGAGUGAAAGGCUACGGCUCAACCGUAGUAAGCUCUUGAAACUGGGAGACUUGAGUGCAGGAGAGGAGAGUGGAAUUCCUAGUGUAGCGGUGAAAUGCGUAGAUAUUAGGAGGAACACCAGUUGCGAAGGCGGCUCUCUGGACUGUAACUGACGCUGAGGCACGAAAGCGUGGGGAGCAAACAGGAUUAGAUACCCUGGUAGUCCACGCUGUAAACGAUGAGUAC